UACCGUAUCCUAUUGAGGCUGUUUUCAUAUAUUCUCAGUUUUUCUCUCCGUUUCUCCACCCUCUUCCUCAUUCUUUUUAGCUGUUUGUUUGUUUUGUUGUGAUUUGGCUGUCUUUGCUUUUUAACAUCGGAGGCUAUCACUUUUUCGUGACUGACACAGAGGAAGGAACCCUGGCAUGAUUGAAAGCCUGGGACGGUUUGUUCUCCGCUUGGGCUGCAUUUAUCAGUAUAGCGAAUGCGUGAGCUACUCUGUUGUCUUAGUGAACUGGCCAAUUCCACCGGAGUCUUGUCUCGCUUCUUCUCCAAGAACGAAGCUCGCAGAGAGCACGGGGCGAACAAAUUCACUGCACAAGAGAAUCACAGAAAAACACCAAGUCUGAACUUGCCGGACACUGGGAUGCCAACCCAGAGGAGUUACUGGUGAGGGUUACAGCUCCUAGCUCUAGGUGACAGUGGGUGCCCAGCAAGAGUGGACCCCGGAAGACUGAGUCUGUGGAGCACAGGUCACUGCCGAGGGUGGAAAUAGCAGAAGCGGCACCCAGUGGAGGCUGCAGUGGGUCUUGUGAACCUUAUUUUCCCGAUUAGGUCCAGAAAGUCUUCCUCCAAUGGAUCGGAGCGCCUCUCCCACUGUGUUGGGUGUGAUGUGAGGGGCCGAGACAGAAUCUGGAUUUGAGCCAACAGAAAAUCUCCAGAGCUGUCACUUGGUUUGGGGUACAAAUUGGCCACAAUUUUUCAGAGGGCCUAUCUCUUUUCAGAAACUGAUUCUAUGAUUAGAGACAUGCUUCCUGACCCUUUCAUGAAGAAUCACUUGAACAAAUCCCUCUACUUUGUAAGGAUUUAGCAAUCCUUUGACUUCUGUAUUUAGAAAACCAUAUUUAAAUUGCUAUAACUUUUAAACCAAACUAUGGGUAAUUCUGCCCAUCCCUAAUAAAGUAUUAGAAGAUGUAUAACA